UACGGGGGGGGGCAAGCGUUGUUCGGAAUUACUGGGCGUAAAGGGCUCGUAGGCGGCCAACUAAGUCGGACGUGAAAUCCCCAGGCUCAACCUGGGAACUGCGUCUGAUACUGGAUGGCUUGAAUCCGGGAGAGGGAUGCAGAAUUCCAGGUGUAGCGGUGAAAUGCGUAGAUAUCUGGAGGAAUACCGGUGGCGAAGGCGGCAUCCUGGACCGGCAUUGACGCUGAGGAGCGAAAGCCAGGGAGCAAAGCGGG
rnacentral:rRNA from 1 species